GAGGGAGGGAGGGAGGGAGGGAGCAGAUAUAAAUGGGCCUUUAAUGCAAUUAGAUUAGGAAUUAGGGGAAGAUUUAUAACUGGAGGGAAAAGUCCUGGGCACAGUUUUCCAUAGAAAAACAACAAUGAGAGAGUGGGGAAAGAAACAACCAUCAAUAUCUGUGUAGCGGUACACAUUCAUUGAGCUCAGAUAACUCCUGCUUUCCCAUGCUUGGGAAGAGAGGCAAUGCCUGAAACUUACUAGUAAACUCCAAAGGUACCUGACUAUGCUCCAAGCUCAUGAAGCUUGUGAGAGAUGACUUGGUCACUUGUGCUAAUUAGGUCUUUAAGGCUCAGAUCUGCCUUUAUAAGUAUGAACACAUCAAUGAAGAUGUCCACAAAGAACUCCUGAAAACCUACGCAUGGACUAGUCUUUGUUCCAGAAGACCUCACGUCCCUCCCAGCAUAAUUUCAGUUCCACAUUUCCUCCUUUGUAGCUGUGUGAUUUGAAUGCUUCUUUGAGUUCUUUGAGCUGUGUGAAUGUAAAGAAUGGUUAAAAAAAGAAAAAAGAAAAGAUAAACAAACAAACAAAAAAACUAAUUGUAAAACAUGGCUUUGGAUGAAGGAGAUCAGCUUUACAUGUGGAAAAGUAGGGUCAGUGUAGUUUCUCUGCCUUCUAAAAGACUAGACUAUGUCUACGUACACUGUUUAGAACUUCUGUUUUAACUUUCUGAAGUCAAAGAAAUAGUUAUAAACUUGACUGGAAAGCCCUUGGCUGGAUCAUUUUCCAUUCGAAAAGGUAAUUUUCAAAAUGAAACAGUUUAUUUAAGGAAAUGAACAACACUGAGCAUCCUGUACUGUCACAUUUUGAAACAAAUACUUAAUUGUUUGCAUCAUGCAAUCAGUUUUCCCUAAUAGUAAAAAGUCAAAAUCCAAACAGUAUAUGUUGGCUACCUUGAAGAAAAAAUGUCUAUGUCUAAUGUGAGUUAGCUGUGCGGAUUUCUUGGCACUGCAGUCAAAGAUCUGUUCAAGACAACCUAGCUCUACUGAAUGGAUAACCCCGGCAUAGUUUGGAUAUCCAGGCACUUGUUUCCACUUCAAAGAUGGUUUUUUUUAGCCUAUGAUUCAAGUCACUGGCAAGACGUUACCAAGUGCAAAUAGCAAAUGACCACCUCAGAUGUUAGCAAAUAGAUUUUUGCAUACUUGCCACCCUCCAAGACCACCACCUUCUGCACAAGUUACUACUCAUUCAGAAGAGCUGGCAGCUGCAGUUAGCUGUGGUUUGAGAACUGGGUCAUUUGGAGAUAGCUGGCCUGGUAAUCUCAGCUCUUAAAAGGCUGAAAGGCGAUCUCAGCCCCCGGUCCUGAUGAUAGAUGGAGAUGCCUUUACAGCAAUGUAGGAGAGGAACUAAGGUGAUAUCAUAGGCUAACUAUUGCAACUCUCCCCAGCAUGAGAGCAGCCCCACAAGUAGAUCUAAGCCACCAAAACUCGUUCAGCGCUGGUUCCCAAGGCCGAAGAAGGUGUUUUUGUCAAGGGGGAGGAGGUGGUACACGCAAGUCUCCUGACUUCUCCCGCACGCCAGUAGAUGGAGCUCGGUGUUACCGAAGAUCUCGGCACCGCCGGCCGAAGACGUACACAUUCACGCCGUUCUACGUCAGGCCUGCUGUUAGAAUCAACCGUGUUACCUUAUAUUAAAGGUCUCGUUUACUUUGUGUUCACACUUUCCAAGAACUCUUUUCUUAGAUUAGGAAUAUUACCAGGUUUCAUACUGAAAACUAAGUUGUCAUUUGCAUUCCUGUUUUUAAGCCGGUUGAAAACUGGCAAUUAGCUAUAAAAAUUUUCUUCAGAAAACAUUUGGAAUAGGCUAGAGGAUGCUAUCAUCAUUCAAAACAUGGAUGAAACUAAUUUCACAGUUCCCUCAGAAUUUAAUAAAGUAAAAAUGGAGAACAAUCCUUUCUCCUUUGUUCUCCUUGGUGUCAUGUUCAAAAAGCUUGUUUGGCUAAAAUGCAAAAAGCUUACUUCUUGCAAGCCUUGUCUCCUUUACAAUAGUUCUUUUCUCAUCUCCUAAAUUGAAAUCUCGUAUAUAUUUACAAAUCUAAAGCUCCUUAUAUAUAUAUAAAUAUCUGUAUGUAUAUAUUUAUGAUCUGUAGCACCCACCCUUACAUCACGUUCCAUCUCUCCUCACUUUGUUUGCUCCUUAGUCAGUGCACUCGUAAGCAGACAGGAGAUGACACAUCAGCACCAUAAAACAGGACAUUUCCUCAGAACUAGUUUUCCCCCCAGGGCAGCUGUGCUAUGCACAAAUCAAUUCCGCGCUUUGCAGUACCACAGUAAGUUCUUACACGGGUUCUUCUUCAAUUCAUUCAACAUCCACUAAAGUAAAUGGAAAUACCUAACCGAUCUCAGUGGACUUCAUAGUCAGUUCUGAAUAGCAGAAUGUCUUCUCUUUAACUAUCAACUACAAUUAUUUUUAAUAAAACUAUCUAUUUGGCUGUAAUGGACAAGAAAGAGUCGUUUCCUGUCAACAAAGGCCACUGGUAUGUAUUUUUGUUCCUUCACAGUGUGUCAGUUUUGUAUAGUUUUACAAAGUUCUUGAUUAAGCCAACGUAUUUGCAGUGCUGAUUUAUGCAACCUACUCAUGCAUUUUAUUGAUACAGGCUAAUCCGGGUGAUAUUCUGGAGGAUAUUUCCUUUUCCUUUUUAAAAACAUACAGCUGUGUUGCCAUCAUUUCUCUAUCCUGAGUUCCUCCAGUUCUGCCACAAUCUGAUGAAAUUCAAAAUCUGAUUCAUGUCUUGAUUAAAUGAUUAACUUCACUUUUUUGACACCACCAGAAGCGUAUAUGAGUUUGGACCACAUAGAAGGCCUCAUCCGAAUUCCUGAAAUUUUGAAGCUGUUUUAACAAGUCUUUGAAUUCCUGUCAUACCUUCUAUUUCCUCUCUUGCUGUAGGUAUGAGCUGAUUUUUUCUUUUUCUUCUACUCUACGGCAUUUUGCUCAACAAUGCAAAGUUGAAUACUUCUGGAAAGCAGUUAUGUGGCAAAGUUUUGUGAUUCGUUUGGACUAUGAACAAGGAGAGGAAAAUCCAAAGUCCAGCUUUUGUUUGGGGAUGAUACAGGUGAAGGCUUGAAGGGAAUUUGGAGCUAUGAAGAUAGGAAUUCCUCUUCUGAUCUCACCAGUAAUAUGGUGGGCUAUCUCUCUCAAUGGCAGCAGAACCAGAAUUCUUAAGCCAAACGUUAAAAGGUCUUGGCUUUUCAAACAUGCUCUUGUAGAGUUUGCCUAACUCAUCCUUCAAGUCUUUCUAUGCUGGAUAUUUUACAGUCUUCUGGAGAAAUCUUGUCCCAAUGGUUUUUUGUCUUUUCUAUUAGAUGGUGGACUUUCUGCGCAACAGAUGGCAUGUUAUUUUAAUAUGGACUUACCUACAUAAAGGGGAAUCACUAAAGAAGCAUGAAUUACUACAUAUAUCAGCACAAUACAGUCUCUGCAGAAGGCUAUGGAAAUAAACAUUUUGAUGAAAAUGUGACAUUUUACAUGAAAAAACCAGCAGUGUAACUGAAGUACAUAACCAUGAAUUAAGAGACAUGACAUCUCUUUCCAGACUAACCCCAUGUUGACAGAGCAUCUAGCAGCGAAGGGUAACUGAGAAUGCUACAGAGUACAACACUCUUGCCAUCCUGAGUCUAGAAGCAGUUGAGCCAUGAUGUUCGCAUAAGGCUGUGUGUGGGAGAAGGAGUUCUGCCUUCUGCAUUUAAUUCUUCUGCACUCCCAGGUCAAGGAGCCAUGGAGGCUGAACUGCAUGAAAGUAGUCUGCACCUGCUUGCACGGAAAUACCUACAGUCAGAAACAUUUUUGCAAACAAAUAUAAUGAUUUUAACUGCUUGGCUCCCUGUCCGAAGCCCUAAUUAAAUAAAAGUGCAGCUUCAUAGACAAUUCAAUCAUUUAAGGUGGCAUUGACAGUGGAAAUGAGUCUCGCACUCUUCUCUCAAGUCCUCCACUGAGCCAGCAAUGGAGAAACUGCACACCGAGACCAGAUUGGUAAGCUGAGCUGUAUGAAAACUGCUUUGCUUGCAUGACUGGGAGGAAACAGUCAAAGUUCUUUUAAGAUAUUUGUAGUUGGAUCAGUACACAAGUAUGUCUUAAAUUCUGCUUCGUAUGGCAAUGGCAGAAGAAGAAAAUACAAAACUUAUCACUACUUGGAGAGGUAAGAUCUCACCCAAAGUGGCAAAGAAUGCACUGGCAAUACUCCCAGUAUACACAAUGUUAGCUUUUGACUGCACCAGUUCCUAUUGCCCUUCCCUAAAAAUAAUCCAAGUCCUGAUGAGGUAAUAAAAACCAUCUCACAAGCAUGUUUCUCACUUUCUACUUGCUUUGUAAGAAUACAGAAUCAUAUAAAUAUUUCAAUUGGAAAAGACCUUCACGAUUAUCUAAUUUGACCAUCCACCUUACUCUACAAGUCUACUGUUAAACUACACUCCUUAGCACCAAGUCUACACGUUUCUUAAAUACCUCCAGAGACGGUAACUCCACCACUUCCCUGGGCAGCCCAUUCCAAUGCCUAAUUGCCUCUUCCAUAAAUAAGUUAUUCCCGAUAUCACAAAUUAAGCUCACCUGGAACAACUUGAGGUCAUUUCCUUGCAUCCUAUCACUUGUAACCUGAGAAAAGAGACGGACACUCUCUUCACUACAGCCUCCUCUCCAGAAGUUCAUAGAAUCAUAGAAUGAAUUGGGUUGGAAGGGGCCUCAAGGAUCAUCAAGUUCCAACCCCCCUGCCACAGGCAGGGCAGCCAGCCGUUAGAU